rnacentral:rRNA from 1 species
UACAGUGGUCCCGAGCGUUGUUCGGAUUCACUGGGCGUAAAGGGUGCGUAGGUGGUGAGGUAAGUCGGAUGUGAAAUCUCCGGGCUCAACCCGGAAAUGGCAUUGGAAACUACCUUGCUGGAGGAUUUGAGGGGGGAUUGGAAUACUUGGUGUAGCAGUGAAAUGCGUAGAUAUCAAGAGGAACACCAGUGGCGAAGGCGAGUCCCUGGACGAUACCUGACACUGAGGCACGAAAGCCAAGGGAGCAAACAGG